GCAUGUUCACAUGAUUAAAGGUAUUCCGGUAGACGAUGGGGAUGCGCUCCAUUAGAUAGUAGGCGGGGUAACGGCCCACCUAGUCUUCGAUGGAUAGGGGUUCUGAGAGGAAGGUCCCCCACAUUGGAACUGAGACACGGUCCAAACUCCUACGGGAGGCAGCAGUGAGGAAUAUUGGUCAAUGGGCGAGAGCCUGAACCAGCCAAGUAGCGUGAAGGAUGACUGCCCUAUGGGUUGUAAACUUCUUUUAUAAAGGAAUAAAGUCGGGUAUGCAUACCUGUUUGCAUGUACUUUAUGAAUAAGGAUCGGCUAACUCCGUGCCAGCAGCCGCGGUAAUACGGAGGAUCCGAGCGUUAUCCGGAUUUAUUGGGUUUAAAGGGAGCGUAGAUGGAUGUUUAAGUCAGUUGUGAAAGUUUGCGGCUCAACCGUAAAAUUGCAGUUGAUACUGGAUAUCUUGAGUGCAGUUGAGGCAGGCGGAAUUCGUGGUGUAGCGGUGAAAUGCUUAGAUAUCACGAAGAACUCCGAUUGCGAAGGCAGCCUGCUAAGCUGCAACUGACAUUGAGGCUCGAAAGUGUGGGUAUCAAACAGGAUUAGAUACCCUGGUAGUCCACACGGUAAACGAUGAAUACUCGCUGUUUGCGAUAUACAGCAAGCGGCC
rnacentral:rRNA from 1 species